rnacentral:rRNA from 1 species
GGAUUGGCACAUCGGUCGUGCCUUAAGGGGCAUGAACUGGUGUAGCCAAUUUCUCACCUUCUGGAGAACCGCGAUGUCCUUAAUUGGGUGCCGCGAGGAACCAGGACCUUUACUUUGAAAAAAUUAGAGUGUUUAAAGCAGGCAUACGCUUGAAUACAUUAGCAUGGAAUAAUGAAAUAGGACGUUUGAUUCUAUUUUGUUGGUUUCUAGGAUCGACGUA